rnacentral:rRNA from 1 species
GGGGAAUUUUGGACAAUGGGCGCAAGCCUGAUCCAGCAAUGCCGCGUGCAGGAUGAAGGCCUUCGGGUUGUAAACUGCUUUUGUACGGAACGAAAAGCCUCUCUCUAAUACAGGGGGGUGAUGACGGUACCGUAAGAAUAAGCACCGGCUAACUACGUGCCAGCAGCCGCGGUAAUACGUAGGUGGCAAGCGUUGUCCGGAAUUAUUGGGCGUAAAGCGCGCGCAGGUGGUUUCUUAAGUCUGAUGUGAAAGCCCACGGCUUAACCGUGGAGAGUCAUUGGAAACUGGGAGACUUGAGUGCAGAAGAGGAAAGUGGAAUUCCAAGUGUAGCGGUGAAAUGCGUAGAGAUUUGGAGGAACACCAGUGGCGAAGGCGACUUUCUGGUCUGUAACUGACACUGAGGCGCGAAAGCGUGGGGAGCAAACA